CUCCAAAAUCAUUCAAUUGAAAUUACUCUCGACCAACGCAUUGCACUUGUAAAAAAUAAGAAACCUGCGAGCUGAGCUGGGGUUUUUAUCUUCAAUGAGACCACGUAUUCAAGCAAUGUGGGCCGAUGUACAAGUGCAUCGUGUAUAAAAGAUUUCCAAUAGCCCUGCUAUACCCAUCAGUAACACCAGCCUCGUGAAUGGAAAGAACGGUGUGAUGUCCGUCCGGUAGAGGGGUUUGAUUUGGGCUAAUGGGAAUCGGUACGAUGGCCGAAGGGAAAUGAGGUUUCACGUGGCCGGACGGGAGCUGCUAUGUGGGUAGUUGGGGUAAGGAUCUCAAAAAGCAGCAGCUCAAUGGUACGUUUUAUCCCGACAGCGUUAAGGAUCAGAGUUGUAAUCAGAGGAGUCCAUUGGUUGUUGGCAAGUAUGGCAUCCACGAAGAGGUCUUCGGUCGAUGUAUGGUGCAAGGGGGGAACUUGGCCGAGAGGAAUUUCCCUUGGAUUUACAUUUGGGAAUCAGAUGGGGAAGUUGGUGAUAUCAUCGAUCAUGUGGAGGCCUCGAUGUUCUAACGAGACGGAACGAAUUUGGAUCAGGGAGUGGAUGCCUUGCGGCGGAGGAGUCUGUGUUGUUUCACCGGUGAGGUUAAGAAACCCGGGAAGACGAUACCGAAGGGACAUAAGAACUACGAUUUGAUGCUUAAUCUCCAACUGGGUAUCAGGUAGCUUGUCGAAUGAAUAGUCUAGGGCUUGUUCCCCUUUCCUCUCGGAAAAAAUCCCCCUCCGCCACUCCCCUUCCUACAUACACCCUCCAGAGUCCAGACGGCGAACUCUCCGCUCGCCAGGAUUUGCAGCGGCCACCUUCUCGGCUUCUCCAGUGUAUGGAAUGAUGGAAGCAAAUUAAUUUAUAAGGGCAAAACAGACAUUUUUCCAUUAUUCAAACGGUAACUUGGAGCCGAAAUUUUUUUAUGGGUUCAGUUUGAAAAGCGUUCACCCGAAUCCGAAUAGUUGGACAGUUCCUUGAUUAGUUAGGAAGGCAUAAUACUACGACUUCACACCCUCGACCCGAUAAUUUCAAUACUCACCCGAUUGCAGUUCGGCUUCGCCAUGCCUAUGACCGAUGGAUUUCGCUAUUUCCUUUUUCCCAACUGUGAGAGAAGAGAAUGAGUUCCUUCUGAAACAAGUAGGCAAAACAGAAAAGCUCCAAGAGACAUGAGAUGCAGAUGCUUGCUCAUCAAGAGGAAUCAGUAUUGCUGGCAGCACAAAGACACUUCAUGUUGACAAUCGUAUUUCUCCCUUCGUUAUUACCAUCGGAUCGCCAAUGAUCUCAUUAUUUUUUUCUCUCUCUUGUUCAGUUAGUUUCCCUAAAACUUGAACGUCGAGAUGUUACUUAGUUCACUUCGGUAUUUAUUCUUGGUUACUCUUACACAAACUGCGAUUUUGAAUCUGUUUAUAUGGAGAGCUAUUUAGGUUGAUUGUUGAAUGAGGGAGGUGAAUCCAUUAUGUUAUGCAAAUAGGUUGUUCAUUUAUGGUAUAGAAUUCUAUAAUUUGUUUGCUUGUUCUGGGAAGGGUAUCCGAAUAAGGCUAAAAAUCUUAUUCCAGUAGUAAUAUAAGAAGGUGGAAGAGAUGCUUAUCGUUCCCAUUGGACAAUCAUGACUCCAAUUGAUCAAUGAAUAUCUCAUAGAAGUGUCGAUUGGUUUUCUUUAUGAUGUAUUUCGGUGAAUUAUAGGUAAUAAUUCUUGAUAAUAUGCAAGGCAUCUUAGUUAUUUUAGUAUCAUCUUGAGUUCUUGAUUGCAAUUUUGCCUUACCACAUUUAACACCAGAUGCAAGAGAUGAACAUUGAAUCUAGUGGAGUGGUGAAUUUCCUUGUAGUUAAGCGAUGGCAGAUACUGAAUGCAUAUCAAUGCUCUUCAAGGAGUUUCUGUCACUUGGUUCUUUUCCCUAGUAAUCAUCCACAUGACAUUGUUGCUCCCAAUCAAACAGUUUUGUGCCUAAAUGGACUGUAAUCCUUGGAUUGCAUGCAUAGUUUGGUAUUUUAUAUUUCUAAACAAUUUCCAUUAUCAGGGAGCAGAUUUUAUAAAAUCAGGAGUGGAAAAUAGGGAAGAACUAACAUUAAUGAUCAAGAAGGUCACCUGAACCUGGCCAUUUUUUUUUAUAUCUUGGAUCAAUUAUUAUUAAACAAUGCAAGAUUGAUGAUGCUGGUGCAUGUGGAACUUGGAUAAGGUGAAUGAUGUAGGGAAUUCUUAUUACCAAUGCAUACCAAUUGAAACUGCAAAAAAAAUGUAAUGAUACAACAUAAUGCCAGCCAUGAAUUAAGAUGGGCACGUGAAAAGAAUGGGAAUGAUAGGAGGAGGUUGGUGAACACUUCCCCUGUUCGAUGCAUAAACAGGGAGGUGACCAUGGGUAUCUUUUAAGAAGUGACUAUAGAAAUAUGUGGAAAGACCAAAAGUAUCAUGGUGCAAAGUAGUGUAAUGCAAAUUGAGACUUGAAAAUCAUGAAAGAUAAUAUUUUUAAGGAAUUGUGGGGAUAGGAAUUGAAUGGCUUAACAACUUCAUUCAAAAAAUCCAUAUUUAUAUUGGGAUUUUUUAUGACUUUUUUUUUGUAUUGCGAUUUGGAAAAGGAAACUAUGACUUUUCUGUCACUUUCAAGAAAGGGAAAGUUUGUUGGUCUUCUGUUCCUUUGGCAAUUCUCUGGGUUUUGUGGUGCGAAAGGAAUAGUAGAAUUUUUGAGCAUGUUAUUUCAUCUGAAGCUGAAGUCAUCAAUCAUGCUCUAGGUGUCAUAAGGAACUGGUUGUCUGUAAUUCAUGUUUUCAAAGAUAAUAUAUUGGAUGGCUCUUUUUUGUAAGUGGACAUUUUUUGAGGUCCUCUUGACUUGUACAAUCUCUCUUUGUACAAUGGACCCUUUACUUAUACUUAUUUUAAUACAGUUAUACUUAACCUUUCUCUCAAAAAAAAAAAAAAAAGAAUUGGGAGGACACUUGAUGCAGAUAUGCUUUAUUCAUAACUACUCAACCAGAAGUUUAGACUAGAAUGUGUACAGUGUACUUUUGGUUAAGUGCUAUGAAAGGAUAUCAUUAUCCAAUGUUAGUCCUGGCUCUAUCCAGGGUUGGGAGGGAUGGAUUGGAUAAGGACCUAACUUUUGGCAUUUUUUGCACAAUGUGCCACUUCAGGUUCAAAACACGUUCUCAUGCUUGUCAACCGGAUAUCUUUACCUUUAUGAUUCCAGAAAGGUGUUUUAAUUUUUCUGAAGUUGGAUUUUUCUUUCUUAAAGCUUCCUGGUUCCUUUCAUUUCUGAUGGAUGGUCGGAGCUUGUUACUUAUUUCAUUUGAAACCUUCUUUUUGAAACCUUCUUUAGAAAGAAGGGAAAUGGGGAGAACAGGAAAAAUCUUUGAAUAUAAGACACCCCCAGAGUGGGCUACUGUCUUUUUCCACUCUUUUAGGUUGUAUCAGUAAGGAGUUGAAUGAGACAUCCUAAUCUGAAUUUCAAUCUUGUUAGUUGCAUCCUUUUAUAAGGGGUGAUGGUGUACACUGUACAGUUUUGUGGUCUGACUGGAUUUAUCACAUCUAUUAUGUUUAUAACUAAAUUCUGUCAACAUUGGAGAAGACUCCUAAUUGUUGCCCCUGCCUUUCUUUCCAUAAGUGAAAUUCUUAUUACUAUAUAAAAAUAAAAAAAAAAGAAAGUAGGAAGGAUAAUAUUACAACUGGAUAUAUUUGUGGGGAUGCUUUGAUUUGUUCCAGUUUAUUGGAAACCAAUCUGUGCUCUAAGACAUGUCUGGUGCAGUAGAAGUCAUAAAAGGAAACAUAUUGUAGCAGUGGAAAAAACUCAUUAGUAGAAAAAACAGUCAUGGAUGAAGUAAAUUGAUAGAUUGAUAAAAAAAAAUGAAGUAAAUUGAUAGAACAUAUUUUUAAUGCCUUAUCUCAAAUGGCCGGGAUAUGCUAUAGUUGAGUUGUAUAAAAUAUAAUUGUGUUUGGAAGGGCUUUUGAGAAAAUAUCUUUCAAAGUGCAUAUGUGGUUUAGAUCUUUUUGUCUUUCAAAGAUCUAGAUAAAGUUUGGCAAGCUCAUAUAGUAAUUUCUAUUCAAAAGAUCCUGCAGGAAGCACACAAGCUUAGGAAAUUGCUUGAAUGUGACCCAUUUGAAUCCUAAUAAUAUUUUAUAUAUAUCAUAUUUACAUAUUUACCCACAUAUUUAUUGAGCUCUUAAUAUCUUAUGAGUUAUGAGUAUAUAUAUAUACAUACAUGCAUAAAAAAGGCCAUUAUGUUGGUUCUAGCUAUUUGGGGUCUUGGGAGGGGUUGAACCGGAUACAGUCCUAACCUUUGGCAUGUUUUUUGGGCACAAAUUGGUCGUUCUCAGACUUGAACCCACAUUAUCAGAAUAGACAGCCCAAGAUUUUACCAUUACACCAAGUAACAGUCUAUUUUUUUUUUUUUCAUAUCUUAAGAUUUAAGAAUUAGAAAAUCUGAAUACAGAUCAGGUUUAUAUCUGGAUGCAAGUAGAUGCAUAUGCAGGUUAAAGGGUUGGGUCUGGGAUAGGUUAUAUUAAAUUGGGCCAGAUAUGAAUCAUGCUCUCUGGAUCUGAUAUGGCCCUUUUUUGGAUUCAGGUCCAGUAAGGUUAGAUCCACUCCAGAUCUGACCUGUUGCAUGCCUUACCUACCAUAUGAAUAAGGUUAAUGUUAUUUUUUUGCUUUAGGUUGGUUAAAUCCAUGCUGAACAGAAAGAAGUUUCAUUACAAUGGUAUGCAGACUGACAUCUUCCAAGAAGAGAAAAAUAUAAUAGAUCUAUAUGUUAUGCUUCUGAGGUUUUCAAGAUGCAGAGGCUUGUUGGACAAGAAAACCUGAAUCAGGAUUCAAGGACUCACCAAAUCUUACAUGAAAGGUCCGUGGUAGAUCAAUUUUACAAAUUGUAAGUAUUCCAUUUUACUAUUAAAAGAACUCAGGUCAAUCAUUGCCCUCUGAAUAUAGAUAGAGAUGGCCUGGUUUUGACUUUUGACACAUGCACAGGUCAAUCUUGCUUCUUGUUGUUAAAAAUCCUAGCAUUUCCUUCUUUUCAAAUGCUCCAUAAGAUAGCUACUCUUAUAGACUUAUACAUCUGCACUUGAUUUUUUUACUCUUCUGGAGUGGAGCUAAAGUAAAUUGGAUUGAAACAAUUCCAUGAUUUCAUUUAGAGGUGAUCAGGAACUCCAUAAAGAGGAACUGGUUGGAUCCAUAUGUCUGUAUUAUAAGUGCAAAGAGUAAUAGAUGAUUGGCAUUCUCACUGUUAUUUAAGCAGAAAAUAUGCAUGAGGCAAGAGAAUCAAAGUUUCCGUCUCCAUUGGAACAUCUAACAUCCGUUUUUUUUAGAAUGAUCUUUAUGGUGAAAUUUGCUGAUUUUGUUUUGUCAUUGAGGACCUUGGAGGAAUCAUUUUGGAUGAUCCAGUUAUAGGUUGAUAGAUGAUUGUGGGAUACUCUCUUAGAAGACAAUAAAGAAUGGUGAUUGACAUGUACUAGAGCAAGAAAGUUGAAUUUUGAUGGUUGCAGCUUAGGCAAUCCAGGUACUUUGGACAUUGAAGGGAUAAUAGGAAAUGACAGGGAAACAUUCAAUUUAGUUUCUCUGGGUCCAUUGUUGUUGAAAACUCACUAAAAGGCAGAAAAGUUAGCUCUACUACGAGGGCUAAAGUUGGUUUCAGCAGCUGGCUAGAAUGAUUUACAAGUGGAAGGAGGCUGUCAAGUGGUUAGAUAAGAAAAGGCUCUAACUGCUAACCUGAAUUGCUUGUUCGGGUGGAUCCCUAGAGCUAAAAAUACUUUGCCAGAUUCUCUAGUUUGAACAGGGGUAACAACAGACAGUUUUGUAUGAGGUAAUCCAUGACAAGGAGCAGAUUUGUAAAGAGCUUUUAUUUUGAAACGACAGGAGUAGUUUAUAUUUACUGCUUUCUCUAUUUGUACCCUGCUAUCAUCCUUAUCUGAUUCAUUUACGAAAUUCUCUUGCCUGUUGCUUAUUAAGAAAAAAACUAAACCAUUUUAAAUUUGUAAAUAGACUUGAAUCUCUUAACUAAACCAUUUUAAACUUGAAAUAGUCUUUCACAACCAGCACGGACUAAGAAAAAAACCAAGUCAUUUCAAACUCGGAAUUAGACUUGAAUCUUUUAACUAAACCAUUUUAAACUUGAAAUUUUCUUUCACAACCAGCAUAAACCAAGAAACUCCUUGGAAACUGAUGAAUUAUGAAGAUGUCAAUAAACUCUUCUUAAAAUCCCAACACCUGAUAUCAACAAAUGGUGCUUGUACAAUUAUGAUAUUGAAUUUAAACUGGAGCAUGUUACAUACUUCCUUACUUUUCUUUUCAGACCAUAUUCUCCAUAGGAUAGCUUCCCUUGUGCACCUCCACAUGAUUUUAAGGGCCAAUUUAUUUGUUUCAAAGAGAUCUGUUUAUCAACAAAAGGUACCAAAGCUCCAAAAAGAGGGAAAUCGUUUCCUUAUACUUGUAGUAUAAGAACAAGACAGGAAAAGGUGGUUGGCAUCAAGGAUGAACACAUGAGGAGAGAGAUGCAAUGUUUUUUGUUGCUCUAUGCUUGAGCAUCUCACUUGUAUUGAUGAUUUUCAAAAUGGUUUUCCGAAAGGAUUUGACUUUUAUAGGGGUAGGACCCAAGGUUCAAAGUAUCGUUACGUAUCGGCUGAUACAUAUCAUAUUGGGAGCACCCCGAUACACCCUCUGUCAGUUUUGACCGGUUCAGGGGGUAGAGGAACCUUAAACCGCCACCCUGAACCGGAUUUGAAAAAAAGUUAAAAAAUGUAAAAAAAAAGUACCAAUACUGCCUGAUAUGCCCCUAUCGGCGUAUCGGGCGCAUCGAUAUUUAGAACCUUGGUAGGACCAUUCAAAGAACCUUAAUCUGGAAAGGAACUGGGGAAGGGAAAGAUACCAAGGCUUUUCUAAAAAAAAGAGCAAGAAAAAAAAAUGAAAGCUAAGGACUCUAUGGCCAAAAUCGUGGAUUCUGCUCCUUCCAGAAGAAAUAGUAUACCCUCAAGAGAGUUUAAAAGACAUAACGCUUUUUUUCACUCUCAAAAUCUCUAAGACCCCUUCUAAAGCCAAGAUCCCAAGCAAUAUUGGAAAAGAUGGAGUCUAAGUCCGAAAUUGUUUUGUUUUUAUGCAAAAGAAAUGGAAUAAAGUAUGGAGAUAUAAGAUGCACAAUAGUCUACCUCCAAACCACUGAUCCUCCCAAGUUUUACAUUUUAGCUUGAAACCAAGUCAUACUUUAUACACUCAAGAAGGGCAUCAUCUAUAACCUUCCAAUGGCAAUGCAGCGUUACCAUCAAUGCUAAGCCCGAGUCCCAACUAUUCCAUAAGGAAUGUUGAAGAGAUUGUGGCUCCAUAAGCGAUCUCCAGAACCAUUUGCCAAGAAAAGCAAGAUUCUUAUCCCUUCACCCUUCCCAAUUUCAAGCUCUGUCAACCGCAAUCCACAUGGUGCCUGGUUGACACUUUCUGCUGUUUUCUUGUUUGAGUGAAAGUCAGAAAUACUGACAAAUAGAAACAAGCUCCCUCUUUCCUGCUUUAUUCUACUUUCUGAGUCCAUAUUAUGAGUGAUAAACAUAUAAGUGGUUAAAUGUUUCUCAAGGUACUUAUUGUUCCCCAUUCAUGUGCUAAGGAUCCUUGUUAGUUGUUAACAUGUUUGCUUAAUUCAUUCAGCCACUAUUUCAUGACACUGAUUUUCUUUUGAACCUGUAGACUUUAUUCAAAUGAUUAAUAAUUUUUCAUGUUUCAUGUAAUGGUCAGACACAUACUUCACAGUCUUGUUUUACGCCAUCAAUUGAUCUUCACAGUCAUUAAUCAUAGCAGGUGAACACCUUGUCAUGUUCCCCAUUAAACACAUUGGUUUACAUUUAAGAUUUCCCACAACUUUGCUCUAUAUUGUGUUAAAUUGCUGAAAUUUUUUUUGCCUUAUAUUUCAACACAUCUUACCGGGUUAUGUUACCUGAAGCUAUUGCAUUUGUCAUGGCUCCCAGAGAUGCAUCAAGGUGAGGAAGUCGUCUGCCAUAUGGUAAAAGGAGUUUGUACUAGACCUGUUCAUGGGCCGGGUAGCCCGAUGGCCUGGCCCGCACCCCAGUUGGGCUUGGUCAUGUAA